AACAUUAUUUGCCAAUAUCAUAACUGGAGCUGGACAUCUUUGGAGCUGAAGAAUGAGGACAGCUUUUGUAUGCUAACAUACACUCCUUAAGUUUUACUGGAUGAAAACACAGCAAGAAAACAAAUAUGACUAUUACAUAUUGGCAUCUAUUUUAUUGCAGUAUUGGUAGUUGGUUCAACAACUUGUUUUACUAGAGGACAAAAAACUGAAUAUGCAUAACCCAUGUUUAAUAUUCAUGCAGUGACUGAACUGCAUUUCCACCCCCAUCUCUAAAGGCAUAGUAUCAUGGCUGGUCACUUGUCAAGUCACCUGUCAGGCAGACUUUGCAAUGCCUCCGUGUGCGACUACCUUGAGAAGCAGUUUGAGGGACUUUGCAGGGAAAAUGCCGUGCAGUGAGGCGUAGGGGAUUGUCUACAGCAGGACAACCCCCAGUGGAUGGGCGCCGAGGGGUGUGGUGCUCCUCCAGCAGCUCUCUCAUGAGGUUCUCUCUGUAUUUUUGCUCCAAGACAUAGCGAUUGGUCUCCUCUAUGUUCCCCACCAGCUCCUCUGUCAGAAACAACUUGAAGCACUCUGCCUCAGUUGGAAAUGGCAAGGGGCUUUGCACUCCAGACUGGGACUCGUCAAAGCAAACA